AUGGGGAGAGGAAAGGGACCACAUACCUGAGCCUGGAGCUAGAAGUUCAGACCAGCUCUGACCCUGCAAGAGGAAGGAGCUUUCAUGAAUUCCUGUUAUUGCAAGAAAGAAGAAAGGGUAAAUGACUGAAGACCACACUCCUUAGAGCCCUGGUCUUGUGCCUUCUCAUCUUGUGUUUUCAGCCAUAUGCUUUCAUAUAAGCCUGUUUGCAUCUGUUUUGAGGCCAAACUAUGAAUACUGCCAGGGAUUGGAACAGAGAUCAGAGAGGAGAGAAGGUUGCAAGAUUCAGAUUGGAAAGAAGGGUACAUAUUGGACAGAAGUUG